rnacentral:rRNA from 1 species
UACAGAGGUCUCAAGCGUUGUUCGGAUUCAUUGGGCGUAAAGGGUGUGUAGGUGGCGCCGUAAGUCGGGUGUGAAAUUUCGGAGCUUAACUCCGAAACUGCAUUCGAUACUGCCGUGCUUGAGGACUGGAGAGGAGACUGGAAUUUACGGUGUAGCGGUGAAAUGCGCAGAUAUCAGGAGGAACACCGGUGGCGAAGGCGGGUCUCUGGGCCGAUACUGACGCUGAGGAGCGAAAGCGUGGGGAGCGAACAGG